rnacentral:rRNA from 1 species
GAUGAACGCUAGCUACAGGCUUAACACAUGCAAGUCGAGGGGCAGCAUGGUCUUAGCUUGCUAAGGCCGAUGGCGACCGGCGCACGGGUGAGUAACGCGUAUCCAACCUGCCUUACACUCUUGGACAGCCUUCUGAAAGGGAGAUUAAUACAAGAUGUUAUCAUGAGUAAGCAUUUUCGCAUGGUUAAAGGUUUACCGGUGUAAGAUGGGGAUGCGUUCCAUUAGAUAGUAGGCGGGGUAACGGCCCACCUAGUCUUCGAUGGAUAGGGGUUCUGAGAGGAAGGUCCCCCACAUUGGAACUGAGACACGGUCCAAACUCCUACGGGAGGCAGCAGUGAGGAAUAUUGGUCAAUGGACGAGAGUCUGAACCAGCCAAGUAGCGUGAAGGAUGAAGGUUCUAUGGAUUGUAAACUUCUUUAUACGGGAAUAAACGGAUCCACGUGUGGAUUUUUGCAUGUACCGUAUGAAUAAGGAUCGGCUAAACUCCGUGCCAGCAGCCG